rnacentral:rRNA from 1 species
CCUACGUGAGGCAGCAGUGGGGAAUAUUGCACAAUGGGGGAAACCCUGAUGCAGCGACGCCGCGUGAGUGAAGAAGUAAUUCGUUAUGUAAAGCUCUAUCAGCAGGGAAGAAAAUGACGGUACCUGAGUAAGAAGCCCCGGCUAACUACGUGCCAGCAGCCGCGGUAAUACGUAGGGGGCAAGAGUUAUCCGGAUUUACUGGGUGUUAAGGGAGCGUAGACGGCAGUGCAAGUCUGGAGUGAAAGGCGGGGGCUCAACCCCCGGACUGCUCUGGAAACUGUACGGCUGGAGUGCAGGAGAGGUAAGUGGAAUUCCUGGUGUAGCGGUGAAAUGCGUAGAUAUUAGGAGGAACACCAGUGGCGAAGGCGGCUUACUGGACUGUAACUGACGUUGAGGCUCGAAAGCGUGGGGAGCGAACAGGAUUAGAUACCCCGGUAGUC